rnacentral:rRNA from 1 species
UCGAACGAAGUAGCAAUACUUAGUGGCAGACGGGUGAGUAACAUGUAGGUAUCUUCCCUUUGGUGAGGAAUAACACGAGGAAACUUGUGCUAAUACCUCAUAAGUCUUUACGGAGAAAGCUUUAUGCGCCAAAGGAUGAGCCUGCACUUGAUUAGUUUGUUGGUGGGGUAAUGGCCUACCAAGACUUUGAUCUAUAGCUGAUCUGAGAGGAUGAUCAGCCACAUUGGGACUGAGACACGGCCCAAACUCCUACGGGAGGCAGCAGUAGGGAAUAUUGCACAAUGGAGGAAACUCUGAUGCAGCGAUGCCGCGUGAGUGAAGAAGGCCUUUGGGUUGUAAAGCUCUUUCGUCGGGGAAGAAAAUGACUGUACCCGAAUAAGAAGGUCCGGCUAACUUCGUGCCAGCAGCCGCGGUAAUACGAAGGGACCUAGCGUAGUUCGGAAUUACUGGGCUUAAAGAGUUCGUAGGUGGUUAAAAAAGUUGGUGGUGAAAUCCCAGAGCUUAACUCUGGAACUGCCAUCAAAACUUUUUAGCUAGAGUAUGAUAGAGGAAAGCAGAAUUUCUAGUGUAGAGGUGAAAUUCGUAGAUAUUAGAAAGAAUACCAAUUGCGAAGGCAGCUUUCUGGAUCAUUACUGACGCUGAGGAACGAAAGCGUGGGUAGCGAAGAGGAUUAGAUACCCUCGUAGUCCAUGCCGUAAACGAUGUGUGUUAGACGUUGGAAUUUAUUUUCAGUGUCGCAGCGAAAGCAUUAAACACACCGCCUGGGGAGUACGACCGCGAGGUUAAAACUCAAAUGAAUUGACGGGGACCCGCACAAGUAGUGGAGCAUGUGGUUUAAUUCGAAGAUACGCGCAGAACCUUACCAACACUUGACAUGUUCGUCGCGACUCUAAGAGAUUAGAGUUUUCGGUUCGGCCGGACGAAACACAGGUGCUGCAUGGC